CGUGUCGCGCAUAUCUGCAUAUCAAUAAGCGGAGGAAAAGAAACUAACAAGGAUUCCCUUAGUAACGGCGAGUGAAGCGGGAAGAGCUCAAAUUUGAAAUCUUCAAGGUUCUACCUUGACGAAUUGUAGCUUAAAGAAGUGUUUUCUGUUAGAUGAGUAGCAAAAGUUCCUUGGAAUGGGACAUCAUAGAGGGUGAGAAUCCCGUAUUUGGUUAUUCAUUCUAGCUUUGUGAUACACUUUCAAAGAGUCGGAUUGUUUGGGAAUGCAGUCCAAAAUGGGUGGUAAAUUUCAUCUAAAGCUAAAUAUUGGCGAGAGACCGAUAGCGAACAAGUACCGUGAGGGAAAGGAUGAAAAGAACUUUGAAAAGAGAGUUAAACAGUACGUGAAAUUGUCAAAAGGGAAGCGUUUGACACCAGUGUUGUUUUUCCGAAAAUCAAUUACGAAUGGCUUGAUUUUGUGUUGUAUUGACCUUAUCAGCUUUCUGCACUUUUUUCGAGUCUUUCUUAAUGCACUUUUCGGUUAACAAGUCAACAUCAAUUUCUUUUGUUGUAAAAGAGUAUUCGGAAGGUGGCUUUCUUUUCGGAGAAAGUGUUUAUAGCCCUAUACUUCUACAAUCGGAGAGAUUGAGGUCUGCAGGCGUAGAUCCUUCGGGGUUAGAUACACUUGUGCUAAGUUGUAGCUUUUCAUAGACAACUUGUUGACUAUGUUUAGUCAUGCGGCUUACUCGCUUAUGCUAUUUACCUACGCUUAGGAUGUUGACGAUCAGCUGAGCGCG
rnacentral:rRNA from 1 species